GGGACAGCGAUGUCCUCAGCUGUCCACAUGAGGUUCAGAGCCCAGCUCACAGUGAUGUCCACAGUGAUGUUUCCAGUGAUGUCUGCGUUUCAUCCCCAGUGAUGUCUACAGUGACAUCCACAGGGAUGCCAGCUUGUCCAUAGUAAUAGUGGACAGUGGUGGCACUCUGGAUAAGAAGAAAAAGCAUGGACACAGAACAUGUCUGGGGGCAUGAGGAUCUUGGCAGUGGGCAGCAUUCAAUUCACCGGACCCAGUGGGAUAAACUUAGAACACAUCGGCACUCAGUGGUCGACGGUCACUGUUUCUGAUCAUCAGUUUCCUACUGUGGACUCAGCUCCAGCAGGACUAGGUGAAGACAGACAUUGGCAGGGAAACUCUGCCUUUCUCUGCCUGAAACCAACCCCGUCUGCUGAGUCCAUGGGAGCGUUCAUUCUGCGUGAUGGAACGAAGGGCUGCUUGAUUCUAGAAUAAAAAAUAAAAGAGGGCUCAGUGGGUUGCAGGUGAGACCAAGCGUCAUCAGCCCUGAAGAGCUCCAGAGUGGCAGAGCAGCAAAGAGCCAAGAGCUUCGGUGACCUGCAAGGAUCUGAAGAGACAGUGGAAGAGCUCCAGAGAGGCUGUGGAAGUUGCUGGAAGAGCUCCUGAAAGCUGCCAAGGGGUCUCUGAGCCCUGACUGCAAGGAUCUGAUGGGGUGGCUAAGAUGCUGAAGGAGAGGUAAUACCAAGAGCUCAGAGGCACUGGUACUCAAAGCUCACAGCUGUACUUACUAAGGCAGCUGUAUUUGCUAAGUUCUAUUUUUUUUUUUUUUUUUGAGACACAAUUUUACUAUGCAGUUCAGGCUGAGCUUGAACUUACUUUGUAGCCCAGGCUGGCCUCAGACUUGCAGCAAUCCUCCUGCCUCAGUCUCCAGAGUGUUGGGACUAUGGGCGUGUGCUGCCGUGCCUGGUUUAAAUUCUGAUUUUUAUCUAAAUUGAGAAAAAGAACCUUCAGCCAGUUAGCAACAAGGACCGAGCCUUUCCUGGUGAUUCCCUCACCCUUCUCAGACCAUGGAUCACAGAACAGCCUCCCGUCAUCUGGCACCAUGUGUGACUCUGAGGAAGGGGCUGGUAGUCUGAGGGGAUCUCAAGAAGGAUGUGGGGGGCUAGGACCCCACUGCAGUACUUCCUGCAUUCUGCAUAGAGAUUACAGGGCACAGUCUCUGGAGCAUGGCCUGUGUUUCCUGUGGUGUUUUCACAUUUCAUU
rnacentral:lncRNA from 1 species